UUAGCUACUCCAAGGAACAGCCAAGCAAGACCAUUGAACUUAUACUUGGGGACAGAUUCCAUGAACAUGCGGCGAAGGUAGCCUCUAUAUGGAGCCACACCUGUGCCAGUUGCAAUCAUAAUGUGGGUAGCAUUUGGAUCAUCUUCAGGUAAAAGCAUGAUUUUUCCAGAAGGGCCUGCACAAUUUUGCAUAUGAUAAAGAGGGAGAGAAUCACAUAGAAAUACUCAUCUAUACUAACUUGCUAAUUAGUUUACCUAUUUCGAGAGUAAACCAAGUAACAACACAAUAUUUAGAGAUAUGCAUGAAUGCAAAAUAAAUGCAUACGAUACUUUAAAAGAAAGGUUGGGAUCCAACAGAUACAUGUUUUCAGCAUUUAAACAAGGCUCAUCACCAAGUCAUCUACAAACACAUUUCAAUCAGAUUCAACUCGCACGCUGACAUGAAAAUCAGAUACUUUCCAUAUGGCUUAAAAUACAAAAAUGUGGAUAUUACAAGUUCAACGGUUCAAAUAUAUAGGGCCUAUAGGCAUAUGAAUUCAUCAAAACUCGAUAAGCGUACUAAUUGCAUACGAACAAACUGUAGACGAGCUCAAAUUUCAAUCAGCUAUUAAACAUAAAAAAUACUUUCAUGUAAUAACAGAUAAAUAUAAAAAUAUUUACUUCUGUGAGAUGCUGGAUUUACCUGCAAUCUUAACCUUGUCUCCAGGUUUUGAGUCGCACAGAAAGUUGCUGCACACACCAUUUUUAGUAGGAUCUUCUUUUCCUGUCUCAGGAUCAUAAUAAACAGCUCGUCGUACACACAAACUGGCAGUCUUUCCAUCAAAAGAGUCUCCAUACCUUGAGGAAGCAAUUGAAUAGAGACGUACAUUCUGGGGAUUCCCUGGCUUUUUU
rnacentral:lncRNA from 1 species